AGAGUUUGAUCCUGGCUCAGAAUCAACGCUGGCGGCGUGCCUAACACAUGCAAGUCGCACGAGAAAGGGUAGCAAUACCUGAGUACAGUGGCGCACGGGUGAGUAACACGUGAAUCAUCUACCUUCGAGUGGGGAAUAACUGGGAGAAAUCUCAGCUAAUACCGCAUAAUACCUACGGGUCAAAGCAGCAAUGCGCUUGAAGAGGAGUUCGCGGCAGAUUAGUUAGUUGGCGGGGUAAUGGCCCACCAAGACGAUGAUCUGUAUCCGGCCUGAGAGGGCGCACGGACACACUGGAACUGAAACACGGUCCAGACUCCUACGGGAGGCAGCAGUGGGGAAUUUUGCGCAAUGGGGGAAACCCUGACGCAGCAACGCCGCGUGGAGGAUGAAAUCCCUUGGGAUGUAAACUCCUUUCGAUCGGGACGAUUAUGACGGUACCGGAAGAAGAAGCCCCGGCUAACUUCGUGCCAGCAGCCGCGGUAAUACGAGGGGGGCAAGCGUUGUUCGGAAUUAUUGGGCGUAAAGGGCGCGUAGGCGGUUUGACAAGUCUGAUGUGAAAUCUAUGGGCUCAACCCAUAGCCUGCAUUAGAAACUGUCGGGCUUGAGUAUGGGAGAGGUGAGUGGAAUUUCCGGUGUAGCGGUGAAAUGCGUAGAUAUCGGAAGGAACACCUGUGGCGAAAGCGGCUCACUGGACCAUAACUGACGCUGAGGCGCGAAAGCUAGGGGAGCAAACAGGAUUAGAUACCCCGGUAGUCC
rnacentral:rRNA from 1 species